rnacentral:rRNA from 1 species
GACGAACGCUGGCGGCGUGCUUAACACAUGCCAGUCGAACGGAAAGGCCCUGCUUUUGUGGGGUGCUCGAGUGGCGAACGGGUGAGUAACACGUGAGUAACCUGCCCUUGACUUUGGGAUAACUUCAGGAAACUGGGGCUAAUACCGGAUAGGAGCUCCUGCUGCAUGGUGGGGGUGGGAAAGUUUCGGCGGUUGGGGAUGGACUCGCGGCUUAUCAGCUUGUUGGUGGGGUAGUGGCUUACCAAGGCAUUGACGGGUAGCCGGCCUGAGAGGGUGACCGGCCACAUUGGGACUGAGAUACGGCCCAGACUCCUACGGGAGGCAGCAGUGGGGAAUAUUGCACAAUGGGCGGAAGCCUGAUGCAGCAACGCCGCGUGCGGGAUGACGGCCUUCGGGUUGUAAACCGCUUUCGCCUGUGACGAAGCGUGAGUGACGGUAAUGGGUAAAGAAGCACCGGCUAACUACGUG